rnacentral:lncRNA from 1 species
UUAAAUAAAAAAAGAAAAGAAAAGAAAAGAAAAAAACUAUUUGUUUUGUUUGUUUGACUUUGAAAUCGUUCUCUCUCUUUUUUGGAUUGAGGAGGAGCAAGAAUGAGAGAUUUUCACACUUUUCUCUCGCUCUCACUGCCUCCUCUUUCUCUCGCUCUCACUGCCUCCUCUUUCUCUCUUUUCUCUCAUGGAUAAUUCGUGUCUCUUUGAUUUGUCUUUGUUUGUUAGGAAGUGGUCUAUAUGAAC